AUUGAACGCUGGCGGCAGGCCUAACACAUGCAAGUCGAGCGGAUGAAGGGAGCUUGCUCCUGGAUUCAGCGGCGGACGGGUGAGUAAUGCCUAGGAAUCUGCCUGGUGGUGGGGGAUAACGUCCGGAAACGGGCGCUAAUACCGCAUACGUCCUGAGGGAGAAAGUGGGGGAUCUUCGGACCUCACGCUAUCAGAUGAGCCUAGGUCGGAUUAGCUAGUUGGUGGGGUAAAGGCCUACCAAGGCGACGAUCCGUAACUGGUCUGAGAGGAUGAUCAGUCACACUCGAACUGAGACACGGUCCAGACUCCUACGGGAGGCAGCAGUGGGGAAUAUUGGACAAUGGGCGAAAGCCUGAUCCAGCCAUGCCGCGUGUGUGAAGAAGGUCUUCGGAUUGUAAAGCACUUUAAGUUGGGAGGAAGGGCAGUAAGUUAAUACCUUGCUGUUUUGACGUUACCAACAGAAUAAGCACCGGCUAACUUCGUG
rnacentral:rRNA from 1 species